rnacentral:rRNA from 1 species
AUUGAACGCUGGCGGUAUGCUUAACACAUGCAAGUCGAACGGUAGCAGGCCUUCGGGCGCUGACGAGUGGCGGACGGGUGAGUAACGCGUAGGAAUCUGCCUGUUAGUGGGGGACAACUUAGGGAAACUUAAGCUAAUACCGCAUACGCCCUACGGGGGAAAGGAGGGGACCUUCGGGCCUUCCGCUAACAGAUGAGCCUGCGUUGGAUUAGCUAGUUGGUAGGGUAAAGGCCUACCAAGGCGACGAUCCAUAGCUGGUCUGAGAGGACGAUCAGCCACACCGGGACUGAGACACGGCCCAGACUCCUACGGGAGGCAGCAGUGGGGAAUAUUGGACAAUGCGCGAAAGCCUGAUCCAGCAAUACCGCGUGUGUGAGGAAGGCCCGAGGGUUGUAAAGCACUUUCAAUAGGGAGGAACACCUGCUGAUUAAUACUUGGCAGACUGACAUUACCUAUACAAGAAGCACCGGCUAACUCCGUGCCAGCAGCCGCCGUAA